GACUGAAACUCAAAGGAAUUGACGGGGGCCCGCACAAGCGGUGGAGCAUGUGGUUUAAAUCGAAGCAACGCGAAGAACCUUACCAGGUCUUGACAUCCUCUGACAACCCUAGAGAUAGGGCUUUCCCUUCGGGGACAGAGUGACAGGUGGUGCAUGGUUGUCGUCAGCUCGUGUCGUGAGAUGUUGGGUUAAGUCCCGCAACGAGCGCAACCCUUGAUCUUAGUUGCCAGCAUUCAGUUGGGCACCUUAAGGUGACUGCCGGUGACAAACCGGAGGAAGGUGGGGAUGACGUCAAAUCAUCAUGCCCCUUAUGACCUGGGCUACACACGUGCUACAAUGGACAGAACAAAGGGCUGCGAGACCGCAAGGUUUAGCCAAUCCCACAAAUCUGUUCUCAGUUCGGAUCGCAGUCUGCAACUCGACUGCGUGACGCUGGAAUCGCUAGUAAUCGCGGAU
rnacentral:rRNA from 1 species